rnacentral:rRNA from 1 species
ACGAGAAUUCUUUAGCUUGCUAAAGAUAGUAAAGUGGCGCACGGGUGAGUAACGCGUGGGUAAUCUACCUUCGAAUUGGGAAUAACCCCGCGAAAGUGGGGCUAAUACCGGAUAAUAUCUUUAAAAUUUCGAUUUUCAAGAUCAAAGGUGGCCUCUACAUGUAAGCUACUGUUUGAAGAUGAGCCCGCGUACCAUUAGCUUGUUGGUAGGGUAAUGGCCUACCAAGGCUACGAUGGUUAGCUGGUCUGAGAGGAUGAUCAGCCACACUGGAACUGACACACGGUCCAGACUCUUACGGGAGGCAGCAGUGAGGAAUUUUGCGCAAUGGGGGAAACCCUGACGCAGCAACGCCGCGUGAGUGAUGAAGGCUUUCGGGUCGUAAAGCUCUGUCAAGUGGGAAGAACUUAUUUGAUACUAAUAUCAUCAAAUAUUGACGGUACCACUGAAGGAAGCACCGGCUAACUCCGUGCCAGCAGCCGCGGUAAUACGGAGGGUGCAAGCGUUAUUCGGAAUUAUUGGGCGUAAAGAGCGCGUAGGUGGUCUCUUAAGUCAGAUGUGAAAGCCUUUCGCUUAACGGAAGAAGUGCAUUUGAAACUAAGAGACUUGAGUAUGGGAGAGGG